CAGCGACGCCGCGUGAGGGAUGACGGCCUUCGGGUUGUAAACCUCUUUCAGUAGGGAAGAAGCGAAAGUGACGGUACCUGCAGAAGAAGCGCCGGCUAACUACGUGCCAGCAGCCGCGGUAAUACGUAGGGCGCGAGCGUUAUCCGGAAUUAUUGGGCGUAAAGAGCUCGUAGGCGGUUUGUCGCGUCUGCCGUGAAAGUCCGGGGCUUAACCCCGGAUCUGCGGUGGGUACGGGCAGACUAGAGUGCAGUAGGGGAGACUGGAAUUCCUGGUGUAGCGGUGAAAUGCGCAGAUAUCAGGAGGAACACCGAUGGCGAAGGCAGGUCUCUGGGCUGUAACUGACGCUGAGGAGCGAAAGCAUGGGGAGCGAACAGGAUUAGAUACCCUGGUAGUCCAUGCCGUAAACGUUGGGCACUAGGUGUGGGGGACAUUCCACGUUUUCCGCGCCGUAGCUAACGCAUUAAGUGCCCCGCCUGGGGAGUACGGCCGCAAGGCUAAAACUCAAAGGAAUUGACGGGGGCCCGCACAAGCGGCGGAGCAUGCGGAUUAAUUCGAUGCAACGCGAAGAACCUUACCAAGGCUUGACAUGUUCCUGACCGCCGUAGAGAUACGGUUUCCCCUUUGGGGCAGGUUCACAGGUGGUGCAUGGUUGUCGUCAGCUCGUGUCGUGAGAUGUUGGGUUAAGUCCCGCAACGAGCGCAACCCUCGUUCCAUGUUGCCAGCACGUCGUGGUGGGGACUCAUGGGAGACUGCCGGGGUCAACUCGGAGGAAGGUGGGGACGACGUCAAAUCAUCAUGCCCCUUAA
rnacentral:rRNA from 1 species